AUGAACGCUGGCGGCGUGCUUAACACAUGCAAGUCGAACGAACCUUCGGGUUAGUGGCGGACGGGUGAGUAACACGUGAAUAAUCUGCCCUCGAGAUCGGGAUAACUUGGCGAAAGCUAGGCUAAUACCGGAUAAGACCACAUUUCAUAAGAAAUGCGGGAAAAGGAGUCUCAACCUUCACUCGAGGAUGAGUUCGCGGACCAUUAGCUUGUUGGUGAGAUAAAAGCUCACCAAGGCUACGAUGGAUAGCCGGCCUGAGAGGGCGAUCGGCCACACUGGAACUGAGACACGGUCCAGACUCCUACGGGAGGCAGCAGUGGGGAAUAUUGCGCAAUGGGCGAAAGCCUGACGCAGCAACACCGUGUGAGCGAUG
rnacentral:rRNA from 1 species